rnacentral:lncRNA from 1 species
AAAUUUAACAAAAGGGCAAAGUGAGCCAUGACUACUAUUGUUAGGUGGCUAUUUUGCUAGCUAACUAUCACACAUUUUAAUUUAUAUAUAUUAUAAAAAUAAAAUAAAAUAAAAUAAAAAAUAAUAAAAUAAAAGAAGAGGAUGCGUUCCUUGCCUAUAAAAGGCAAAGGGAUGCAGACAGAGAAGGUGGUAGAGAAGAGAAGAGAGGAAGCUGAGACUAAGG